rnacentral:lncRNA from 1 species
AACGAGCCUGGACAAUUAUUUAGGAUGACAAAUGCCACCUAUCAGAAUCUUAUGUUUUUUUUUCUUUUCCUACGUUUUACUUUUCCCCGAAACCGAAUAAGCCCUGAACCAGUAUAUUGGUGUGGGAAUUUUCACCAAUAUAUUCAUCUGGGAAUUUUAACCAAUAUUUCUUUUGCGGAUAUAUUUUUAACCAAUAUAUUCACGUGGGAAUACUGCCCCCUAUUAUUCCUAGAAAAAGUGUGACGGUUCUUUUGUAAAAAUUAAAGUUACCUAUCUAGAGACGGGAGCGAAUGCUUCCAAGCAUCGUCUGAAUUUUUGUCUUGCCGAGCAAAAACAGAAGAAAACACAACAGCGACAUAUGGCAGCAA